UAUAUCUGUCAGGAGUCAGAAGUUUUCUGAUGCAAGGGCUUCUAGUAAUGCUUAUACUUAGAUUCAAGCCUGUCAGUUCUCUAGCCUUUAACUGUGACAUUUCCUGAAUUUGGAACUCCUUUCUUUUGAUAGGGCAUUUCAUAUUGCUUUUGCAAUACUUGAUAACUGGUGCCAAAUCCAUUAUUUCUGAAACUAGAUGGCAUAACGGUGGAUCUACCUGGGAUGAGGUUAAAACAUGUUCCAAAUACAAAAACUGUCAGGAUUGCUGUGGAAUGAAAGCACCUGACAACCUGGUUGCCUGUGAUCUAUUAACAAGGGCUGAGGUCAGGCAAUCCUGGUUAUGCUGCAGCCUCAUUUAGAACAUAGGCAACUUAUUAUCUGAUUCAAAGUGCAAAACUUCUUUCUGCAAAUGUGCCUCUCUGAGUGCCCCAGUGUUCUUUGAUAUGUAGAAACAAAGGUGAAAGAAGAGAACAGCCCUACAGAAUCAGUUCAUCCUAUGACUAAGUGGACACAGCUGUCAUUAACUUGUCAUUGGAACUUGUACUAGUGAUUGAAUUUGGUCCUGUAACUUCAAAGAGGAAUUUCUCAAAAUUAAAUAUGUAGGGUAUGGAAGCGCUUGUUGGCAUAUGGAAGUAAUCCCUAUGAGCUGCAGCAUUCAUAAGUUACAAAGGUAAAACAAAAAUGAAACUGAAGUCCGUGGUUCCUGUAAAACACAUUUACUGGUGCACCAAUCAAAACAAAAUUGCUGUUGUCUGCAACAGUCACUUUGCUGCCAUUUUAGGAUCCCAAUCUUGCUCCUUCCGAAGCUGACAGGACUCCUUCUGUCAGUGAGAGACUGCAGCAUGG